UCCCAGGUGGCUCAGACGGCAAAGCAUCUGCCUACAAUGUGGGAGACUCGGGUUCAAUCCCUGGGUUGGGAA
rnacentral:tRNA from 1 species